rnacentral:rRNA from 1 species
AUACGGAGGGUGCAAGCGUUAUCCGGAUUUAUUGGGUUUACAGGGUCUGUAGGCGGAUCUGUAAGUCAGUGGUGAAAUCUCAUAGCUUAACUAUGAAACUGCCAUUGAUACUGCAGGUCUUGAGUAAGGUAGAAGUAGCUGGAAUAAGUAGUGUAGCGGUGAAAUGCAUAGAUAUUACUUAGAACACCAAUGGCGAAGGCAGGUUACUAUGUCUUAACUGACGCUGAUGUACGAAAGCGUGGGGAGCGAACAGGAUUAGAAACCCCGGUAGUCC